rnacentral:lncRNA from 1 species
UUUUCGCGGCAGUGUUGGGCCAACAUGGAAGGGUCAAGUGCGCAGAGUGAUUUACCCAUUUUCCCUGUCAAGAUGGUUGGACACAACAUCCGCACUGGAAGAUGAACAUGACCAAUUUUAAUGGAACUCUAUUAUUUUACCAUGGAUUGAACUUUCCAAUUUUUGUGGUACAACCGGAUUUUGCAUGUUUAAUUCAAUGACGUGUGAUCAACAACUCACAAACUGACGAAUCAGGCGACGGGGAUUCUUACGCCAUGUCGCAUGGAAUAUUGCAAGUAUUGUUCGUUGAUAAAAAAACCUGAGGAAUAAGCACUUUCAUGGUACAUUUAAUAUGCGCCAUCUUGUUCACAUAGCAAGAAGAACAAGCAUUGCUAGAUGCGGACACAUUUUGUAAUGUACACAUUUUGGAAUGAACGCAUGAUGACUUGGAAGCACAAAAGGUUUUGUUUGAUGACGUGUAGACUUCAACGCAUGUAAAUUUGCCCGGUAAGAAAAAUGACGCAUUAAAGUGAAAAAAAAUAAUCAGUUCAAUCAAAUUUCUCUAAAUAUCAACUUCCAGUUUUAUUUCACAAAUUAAUCAAUGUCAGUUGCCUUUAUGCUGUGUAUUGAAAACCGAUAAUACAAUACAAACCUCUGCGAACGACUGUACACUGCACUCGAAGUCCAUAUCGAUGUUCUGAAAAUACGCAGACUGCGUAACAUUAUGAACCACUGGCAACUUUGCUGAUCGUCUGCGAAACAGUUUGCAUCUGUCUGAGUUGUCGGCGACACUUCCAGAUGAAAUGUUUCCAUAUUAUGUGUUCUGCAGUUUUGGUCCCAUUUUUUUGUUUCACUUUGCGUUUCUUACGUUGAGAUGGAAACUAGCCUGAACAGAAUUGAUUGCUGGUUAGUUUGUAACCAUUGCAAUCUUAAAUAUGUAUUAUUUGUUCUUAUACGCCUGCAUUCUUACCCUUGUAAUUAUUAAGAAAUACAAUUUAUUGUUAUUGCCAA